rnacentral:rRNA from 1 species
AGAGUUUGAUCCUGGCUCAGGAUGAACGCUGGCGGCGUGCCUAUACAUGCAAGUCGAACGAAACUUCUUUAUCACCGAGUGCUUGCACUCACCGAUAAAGAGUUGAGUGGCGAACGGGUGAGUAACACGUGGGCAACCUGCCCAAAAGAGGGGGAUAACACUUGGAAACAGGUGCUAAUACCGCAUAACCAUGGUUACCGCAUGGUAACUAUGUAAAAGGUGGCUAUGCUACCGCUUUUGGAUGGGCCCGCGGCGCAUUAGCUAGUUGGUGAGGUAAAGGCUUACCAAGGCGAUGAUGCGUAGCCGAACUGAGAGGUUGAUCGGCCACAUUGGGACUGAGACACGGCCCAAACUCCUACGGGAGGCAGCAGUAGGGAAUCUUCCACAAUGGGCGAAAGCCUGAUGGAGCAACGCCGCGUGGGUGAAGAAGGUCUUCGGAUCGUAAAACCCUGUUGUUAGAGAAGAAAGUGCGUGAGAGUAACUGUUCACGUUUCGACGGUAUCUAACCAGAAAGCCACGGCUAACUACGUGCCAGCAGCCGCGGUAAUACGUAGGUGGCAAGCGUUAUCCGGAUUUAUUGGGCGUAAAGGGAACGCAGGCGGUCUUUUAAGUCUGAUGUGAAAGCCUUCGGCUUAACCGGAGUAGUGCAUUGGAAACUGGGAGACUUGAGUGCAGAAGAGGAGAGUGGAACUCCAUGUGUAGCGGUGAAAUGCGUAGAUAUAUGGAAGAACACCAGUGGCGAAAGCGGCUCUCUGGUCUGUAACUGACGCUGAGGUUCGAAAGCGUGGGUAGCAAACAGGAUUAGAUACCCUGGUAGUCCACGCAGUAAACGGUGCACGCUUGGUGUGCGGGGAAUCGACCCCCUGCGUGCCGGAGCUAACGCGUUAAGCGUGCCGCCUGGGGAGUACGGUCGCAAGAUUAAAACUCAAAGAAAUUGACGGGGACCCGCACAAGCGGUGGAGUAUGUGGCUUAAUUCGAUGCAACGCGAAGAACCUUACCUGGGCUUGACAUGUAAUGAACAACAUGUGAAAGCAUGCGACUCUUCGGAGGCGUUACACAGGUGCUGCAUGGCCGUCGUCAGCUCGUGUCGUGAGAUGUUUGGUUAAGUCCAGCAACGAGCGCAACCCCUGUUGCCAGUUACCAGCACGUGAAGGUGGGGACUCUGGCGAGACUGCCCAGAUCAACUGGGAGGAAGGUGGGGACGACGUCAGGUCAGUAUGGCCCUUAUGCCCAGGGCUGCACACGUACUACAAUGCCCAGUACAGAGGGGGCCGAAGCCGCGAGGCGGAGGAAAUCCUAAAAACUGGGCCCAGUUCGGACUGUAGGCUGCAACCCGCCUACACGAAGCCGGAAUCGCCAGUAAUGGCGCAUCAGCUACGGCGCCGUGAAUACGUUCCCGGGUCUUGUACACACCGCCCGUCA